rnacentral:lncRNA from 1 species
CCCGACUCUCCUGCUCUCCCCAGUAGCCCAGUACUCCUAUCUCCUCAGUACCCCAACACUCCCACUCUCCCCAGUACCCCGGUUCUCCCACUCUCCCCAGUACUCCAGUACUCCCACUCUCCCCAGUACCCCAACCCUCCCACUCUCCCCAGUACCCCCACUCUCCCACUCUCCCCAGUACCCCCAAUCUCCCACUCUCCCCAGUACCCCAACCCUCCCACUCUCCCCAGUACCCCAGUGCAUAAAGAGGAGGCGCUCACAAAGCGACAGGUCACAGCCUGCAGGGACACUCGCUGGCCAGCCCACCCACCAUCAUCUCUGCACCGGCCCACUGGGAGACGUCACCCCCGAGCGUCAGGUGGGCAGUUCCCCGGAGCCCCUGGGUCACCCGCCCGUGUGCUCCUGAUACUGGGGUGGGAGCGCUCUGUGACCCCAGCGGGACGGCGUGUCCUGGGACAGUGGCUGGGAAGGUGGACUGUAGGUGGGCAAGGGACAGACAGGCAGCGAGGGCCCAUGUGUGAUGCUCCAGCCCAGCCUGUGCCUCUCGGGGCUAUGGGGUUGUCUCCAGCUCCAGUCAGACAGAGAGGCACCUGCCCACGGGGAGCACCUGGACGCAUGUGUCCUCGGAACGUUCUCACGCGCCGUCAUUCUUGGAUGUGUUUGGAUUGCAGCACGAUGCAGGAGGACCCGGAGACCCUGCUGGCCUUGCAAAGGGCCAAUAUUGUGGCCCAGUACCAUCAGGUGAGGCCCAGAAGGGACCAUAGACACUACACACCCACGAAGGGGGGACUAUACCUGCAAGAGCAGGUGAGGCUCAAGAGGGGAUCAGAGCCAAGGAUGAGCCAGGUCAGCCCAGACAACGACCAUAGUCACCAGGAACAAGUGAGACCCUGGGGAUGGUCCCGGUGUCAGUAGCAACUAAGGGUCCAUCCUGGAUCCUAGUCAUUGGUAUCUGAGGAGCCCAGUCACCAGGUACAGGUGAGGCCCGGGUGGGGACCAGAGUCACCAGGUCCAGAUGAAGACCACAGCUACCAGGUCCAGCUGAGCCCAGGUGGGGAGCAGAGUCACCAGGUUCAGGUGAGGCCAAGGUGGGGACCACAGUCGCAGAUCCACAUGAGGCUCAGGUGGAGACCAGAGUCACCUAGGUGAAGCCCAGUUGGUGGGACUAGAGUAACCAGGUCUGGGUGAGGCCGAGUUGGGGACCAGAGUCACCAGGUCCGGGUGAGGGCCAGGUAGGGAUCAGAGUCACCAGGUCAAGUGAGGCCCAGGUGGGGACCACAGUCACCAGGUCAGGUGAGGCCCAGGUAGGAACCACAGUCACCAGAUCCAGGUGAAGCCCAGUGGGGGACUAGUCACCGGGUCAAGGUGAGGCCACGGUGGGGAUCACAGUCACCAGUUCCAGGUGAGGUCCAGGUGGGGACCAUAUUCACCAGGUCCCGGUGAGGCCAAGGUGGGGACCAGAGUCACCAGGUUCAGGUGAGGCCCAGGUGAGGACCAGAGUCACUAGGCCCGGGUGAGGCCCAGGUGGGGACCAGCAUCACCGGUUCCAGGUGAGGCCCAUGUGGGGACCACCGUCACCGGGUCCGGUUGAGGGCCAGGUAGGGAUCAGAGUCACCAGGUCAGGUGAGACCCAGGUAGGGAUCAGAGACACCAGGUCCAGCUGAGGCCCAGGAGGGGACCACAGUCACCAGGUCGGGGUGAGGCCCAGGUGGGGACCACAGUCACCAGGUCCGGGUGAGGCCCAGGUGGGGAUCAGUGUCACCAGGUCCGGGUGAAGCCCAGUGGGGGACCACAGUCACCGGAUCCAGGUGAGGCCCAGGUGGGGACCACAGUCACCAGGUCAGGUGAGGCCCAGGUGGGGAUGAUCACUGAUAGAUAGAAGCAGGUGAGGCUGUCAGGCUGCGCCCACCGGGCAGACAGGCCCUUCUUCCUCUGGUGCCCGGCCAAUCUCAGAGGGUCGGCGCUCCCUCAGGAUUCAGGGGAGGGAGGAUCCCUUCUGCUCCCUCCUGUCCCCAUUUCCCUGCUCUGAUCGGUCCCCACCACGGAGCCCCCUCUGUUGCAGGCGCACCAAGCAGGGUCUCCACAGGACCUGUCACUGUGCAAGGUCACCGACCACCAGGGCUUUCUGCAGUGAGUCCCCUGGACACCCCUCAUCCAUCUCAGGGGGGCUGGCGUUUGCAGGAACACCUCUCUGGAGGCCGACCCCCCCCCCAGGUCGGGACCUCGUCCCCUGGAACCCUCUGAGGGCCAUGUCUGCGCUAGGCUGCAGCUGAGACACCCCGGAGGCCGACCCGGGGCGUGGGCAGGAAGGGAGCUGGGCCCGGGGGAGGCCCCCGGACACUCAGAGGAGGGGCCCCCAUGCCUGCUUCGGGCAGGCCCAGGUGUCUGCCUCCUGCAUCCGGGGGGGCUGUCCAGUCCCUUCAGCAGGGGCUCCCACGGGUGAGGGGCUCUGGGGCCGGGGCGUGCUGUCUGUUGGGGGACGGCCUGGUCUGGGGCGAGUCCACAGGGGUGCUCUCACCCACACCCCCCAGCCAGGGCCUCCACAGUCCUGAAGGCUUCUGCGGGGCUGUAGGUAGAUGCCUGGGACCAGGCCAGGGCAGGGAGGGGGGAGUCCGCAGAGGGAGGGCCCCGGCCAGGCAGGAGGAGGGUAGAGGAGGAGGGGGCUGCCCUGGGCGGGAACGAGGGAGGGGACAGCCCAGUGGCCUAGGUCGCAGGGGACGAGGCUGAUAGGUCAACAGCCCCACGAGAACCUGACAGAGGCUGGAGACCCCAGGUGGGGCCCCCUCAGCCCUGCUUGUGGCCUAGUGGCUGCUGGGAUGGCUCAGGGGUGGUCGUGCUCUGGGGCUCCGACAGGACAGGAGGUGAAAUGGGCCAGAGGCAGAGGGGACAGCAGAGAGGGGAGUCAGGGGACAGCAGGGGGAUGGCCAGGGGGCAGGGCGAGGCCGGCUGGACGCUGGGCAGUCAGGCCUGGGAGGCGGGGGGACCUCAGCGGGACGGUCACAGGACACCUGGGCCACGCGGACAGCUCUUGGCUGGUCCAUCGAGGAGGGGGGCAGGUCACCCCGUGGGGGCGCCGAGGG